UUUAUAUUGACAGCAGCUUCCAGAAGAAACCAUUAUCCCGUGGCGUCCUCCCGAAGAGAAGAGCAGCUCAGUGUGCAGGCGGAGAUUCUGCAGCAGCAGGUAACUCGACUGAUAAAACCAAGAUGGAAGAAAUCAAAGCCAGAGCAGCAGAACUUCAGAAAAAGGAUUUUGACUCGUGGUCGGCUGGACUCAGAACAGAUGGCACAGAAGAGAUGUACAUAGAAACAAAGAAGAUGAAAAGGGACUUUGAGGAGAAACUACUGGAUGCAGGUGGAGAUGCUGGAGGUGGAGAAGCAGCAGGUGACUGGAGAAGCAGGAGCUGAUGGAAUGGCUGAAAGAGGAGCUCGAAGGCACUGAGAAGGAAAUGGCUUCAGGGUCGUGUUCCCUGCCUGCAGCUUCACUGCCAGACACUGCAGGGAACAUCCACCACCACCACCCAUCCACUACCAGCAACGAGACCUCCCAGCAGCUCCUCUGCUCCCGGGGUGUCCUGACAUCCCACCGUCUCCACCAGGAAUGGACAUUCCCCCUCCUGCCCUCGGGUUCAGGAGGGUUCGUGCAGCUCAACUGGUUCCGUGGGCUUCGUCUCCAAAGAAGAUUCUCAUCCAGCUGUACAACUAUG
rnacentral:lncRNA from 1 species